rnacentral:rRNA from 1 species
UACAGAGGUCUCAAGCGUUGUUCGGAAUCACUGGGCGUAAAGGGUGCGUAGGCGGCUGUGUAAGUCUGGCGUGAAAGCCCCGGGCUCAGCCCGGGAAGUGCGCUCGAAACUGCGCGGCUCGAGUGCCGGAGGGGAGAGUGGAAUUCCUGGUGUAGCGGUGAAAUGCGUAGAUAUCAGGAGGAAUACCGGUGGCGAAAGCGACUCUCUGGACGGCAACUGACGCUGAGGCACGAAAGCGUGGGGAGCAAACAGG